rnacentral:rRNA from 1 species
UACGGGGGGGGCAAGCGUUGUUCGGAAUUACUGGGCGUAAAGGGCGCUUAGGCGGGUGGACAAGUCUCUCGUGAAAGCCCACGGCUCAACCGUGGAAUUGCGGGAGAUACUGUCUGUCUUGAGUCCGGGAGAGGAGGGUGGAAUUCCCAGUGUAGCGGUGAAAUGCGUAGAUAUUGGGAGGAACACCGGUGGCGAAGGUGGCUCUCUGGACCGGUACUGACUAUGAGGCGCGAAAGCUAGGGGAGCAAACGGG